CCCUAUUCUUAGAUUAUGAUACACCACUUUGUCACUGUGAACUAUAACCUGAAUUUCGGCAGUGGCACAAAAAUUACAGUAAUGGGGAAGAAUGAUGAAAUCAUACCUCCAGUUGUGGCCAUCUUCUCCCCAUCAAAGCAAGAGAUCCAACAGAAGAGCAAAGCCACACUGGUAUGCCUGGCCUCUGGUUUCUACCCUGACCACCUGAAUCUGGUCUGGAAGGUGAAUGGCGCUAAGAGGACAGAAGGGGUGGGGACAGAUGAGUUUUCCACAUGGAAUGGGAGUACUUACUCAUUGACCAGUCGACUGAGGAUCUCAGCCCAGGAAUGGUUCAACCCUUUGAAUCGUUUUGAAUGUGUUGCCACUUUUUUUAAGAAUGAAACACUGGAAUCGAUACAAAAAUUCAUCUAUGGUGAUGCUGGUUGUGCACUCACGGAAGAGUCCUACUUGCGGUACGGAAAUUCUCUGAAGCUCACUUACCUCAUUCUCUGUGGUAAAGCCUUGCUCUAUGCAGUUUUGGUGAGCAGUCUGGCGUGGACGGCCAAGGCUCGUGGCAAGUUGUAUAGAGAUUAAAUGAAGAGUCUUCUUCACCACUUCAGCAGGAACACAGUAAAUUAUACAUUCUACCUUUCCAUAGCAAAGGAUCUAUGCUUCUGUCCAAGAACUUCUGAAUACUGUUUCUUGGUGGUUCUGUCCCCCUCUUGUUCUUUCCACUUCUUUGUAAUCACUGCUGGGUUUUCCCUGUAAUUCCAUAUUAUACGGUAUUUUAUCGCAUUGUAUUGUGUUGUAUCUUAUCAUAUCUUUAAAACUAACACCUUCUCAAUCCUUAGUAGCUCAGGACCCAGCUCCUUGAAUUAGAAAUAAAGUUUUAGCUUCUUUUCUAUUCACAAAGCAUGAGUUGGUUUUUUAUGUUGUCUUAUGUAGGAAUAAUGUUCUACAACACAACUUCCAGUGAUAUGUAGUAUCAUACGGGACUCACUAUAAAGAACAUUCACUAUCAGUCCCUAGAGGGAUAGCUUACCUGUUAGGAGAAGAGUAGAACAAUCAUCCAGUGCUUACAAGGUGUACCAACCACUGGAGUGGUGCUGCAGGCUUCAGAGCCUUGCACGCUGCAGCAGCAAUGGCUGUGAGAGCAAAAAUAUAGGGCCAGCUAGUAAGCAGGUGGCAUGUCUAGAGCUAGUUUCUGGGAAAUUCAUAGUGUAUGUGGGUCCUUGAGUGUGUGAAGUAACUGGAGGACUGGGGACUACAGGGCCAGUUGUUGAGUAGACUGAGUGUCUAAAGCCAGUUGCUGGGGUCCAGCAUGUGUGUGUGUGUUCACGUGCAAAUAUAUACACAUACAAACGUGUGUGAAGGACUGCAUGAGGGCAUCUGUGAGAAAGGGAGGGUCUAGUCUGUGUGAGUGCUGUGGGUCCAGAGGCCUCAGGGGCUUGCACAUCCAAGUCUUUUAGUGCUAUCUGUGUUUGCAUGAGUGUUUCUGUCUGUCUUGAUUUGUGUGGCUGGCUGUGUGUGUACAUAUAUUUGUAUCGUGUAUGUUUUUGUAUGCCUAUUGGGAAUACAGACUCAGCCUUGCUAGUGGGUGAACCUAAGAAAACUGAGUUGCAGGAGCUUCACCUCUAUUGGGCUGCUCAGUUCAGUAACCCCAAAUGAAACAGCUAGAACUUACCAUUCAGUUGUCAUCUUAAGGUAUUUAGGACAUCAACCAACCCACAUCUACUGCAGAGUACUAUUUAGAUGGACAGUUGUAUAUUUUGUCAGCAGUAGGAAAAACAGACUUCUUAUGUUUCAUUCCAGUGUUGUCAAUAGUUUUUAUGCUACGGCAUAAAAAGGUGGGUCCAAUCUUAGUCUAAGAGAAGAAAAGAAAAAUAGGGGUGGAGAGUAGAAGGGAUGAGCUUGUGGUUUUACAUUUAUAAAUUUACUGGGGAAAGAGGAAGGAAAGAACUAGAAAUCUGCAGUAUUUUAUGUUACUUCCUGCAAUAUCAUGCGCAUUGGCAGCUGGGAAGCAUGAAAGUAUCUACCGAGCAGCACAGUUCCCCCAUUCAUUUAUUAUGAUAUGUAAUCCCCACUGCUGUUACAGAAUGGCCUCACUGUUGCCUUUCUCGUUAUAGAAGCCAAAUACUAAAU